GGGGUGAUGGUUCAACGGAAGAACACUGCCCUUGCACGGCAGGGAUCGGGGUUCGAGUCCCCGUCAUUCCA
rnacentral:tRNA from 7 species